rnacentral:piRNA from 1 species
UCCAAGAGCUUUUAGAAGUAGCCUCUCCUU